rnacentral:lncRNA from 9 species
GGGGAACUGUCAUGGCGCCCGUGGGCGGGUCUUUAGCUGGCGUAUUUCAGUGAGCGGAUCCUGAGGCCGAGACUAAGGUCCACUCUCCCGCCAUGUUGGGCCGAGUAAGUUCUUUUCAGGUCUGUGGCCUGCGUCCCAUUCUUGCUGUCUCAGAAGACGAGCAGAACAUGAGCCUGGAAAGUCUUUCUCCUUCCCUUCGCUAAACAUGGAGCAAUGAGUCUAUAUUAUUUCCUAUUUUAUUUUUGUGGUUGAAUAUAUUUCUUAAAAAGUGUUCAUGGAAGAAAACAUCACAGUCGUUUUGGUGCAAAUUCCAAAUGACCUCUCCAUUCAUCUACCUGCAGUCUUCCUGCUCUGAUGGGCCCAUCUAGAUAAGAGUCCAUUGAAGCCACAGUGAUACCUUCACUUCUGGCAUGUACAAGAAGAAAAUGUCUUUCCAGGAAGGCCUGCUGAGGCUCUUUAUGCUUACAUUGAGCCAUUCGAAGAGCAAGACUCUGAACUCUCCUGGCUACACACAGAGGCACAUUGGAAACACAAUAGAAAACGGCUGCCAAUUUAAAAGCAGAAGUUAAGAAGAGCAAACCCAAACAUACGGCAAGAGAGCUUCAAGCUGGACCAGCUCCCAGAAGAAGUGAGCCCUAAAGUCUUGGAUUCUGUUGCAUCUCCUCUCCUCUGUGAAGUGGCAGAAGAUGUCGGCACCUGGGCUUGAACUUGGUCAUUACUGCUUAUUUCCCAGCAUUUUCCAAGCAUCCUAGCUCCUUGGAGUUGUAGUUUUAUCAUCUGUGAAUUGGGAAAUGAAGGUUCUUUACGCUGAGGUCUGAAUGAGACGUGUACAGAAGCACCAAGCAUGGUUCCCGGCGUAUAGUGUUUGUUCAAUGAAUAUGAACUAGCGUGACUAGGACCCCUGCUUGCUUCUUGCCCCUUCUGGUGACUAGUCGUGUGCUCUGGGCUCCCUGAGACAGGGCAAUUUUCCCCAAGUGGGCAUUAAAGCCAUGUCUGUCUGUAUAGUCUUGUUCCUUAGGUUUUUUUUGUGCCACCUGCUCCCUUCCAUUCACAGAUCCCGG